rnacentral:rRNA from 1 species
UACGUAGGGUGCAAGCGUUGUCCGGAAUUACUGGGCGUAAAGAGUUCGUAGGCGGUUUGUCACGUCGUUUUGUGAAAACUCACAGCUCAACUGUGAGCCUGCAGGCGAUACGGGCAGACUUGAGUACUGCAGGGGAGACUGGAAUUCCUGGUGUAGCGGUGAAAUGCGCAGAUAUCAGGAGGAACACCGGUGGCGAAGGCGGGUCUCUGGGCCGAUAUUGACGCUGAGGAGCGAAAGCGUGGGGAGCGAACAGG